ACACACACACACACACACACACACACACACACACGGUACUUUCACUGCAUGUGUGUGUGUGUGUGUAUAUAUAUCGGUUACAAACGCAAACUCUCCUUCACACACACACACCUUUGACUGCAAUGCUGUAUUACUCAGAACUCUGUAUCUUAUUGUGUGUGUGUUUCUGAUGGAGACAAAGUGAGUUUGUAAGUCUUUGUAAGCAUUGGCAUGAAUGUGCCUUUGUGUGAGAGAGAGAGAUUGAAAGAGCAAGAGAGCAUGUAAUCACAUGCGUGUCCUGUGCCGAGAUAAAGAUAGGAAUGCCGUUUCUCCCCCCUUCCCUCCCGCUCCUUCCCCAACAAAAGGGCCGAAGUGUCAAGCUACUGUAAAGCAAGCAGCGCUUAAACACCACGUGUACUAAAGCUGAAUUCAAAUGAGUUUUAAAAGCCACUCGGAGCUCCUGGCAUUUUAGCGACCACACAGGAAUAGGAGCGUCGGCGUGGCCCAUCCAGGCCUUCUUAAAGGGACAGCGUGCAAUUUAGUGGCCUCUAGUGGUGUGGUUUCACAAUGCUGCCUCAGUACCUCAGCUCGCCCCUCCCUUCCCAAGCUGGUUGGUACAACUAGGACCUACUGUCAUCAAUAUUGCAAUCUUGCUAAAUUAAUUCUGAACAAGAUUAAUUAAUUUAGAUUUUAGAUCAAACUAAAAAGUGAAUCCAGUGCAACAACCGUUGUGCUUACAUUAUGUUUACAUAUUCUCACUGGAAACAGAUGGAAAAUGAAGAAUUCAGACAUCAGGUUGGAUCCCUCAUUUCUCCUGGCUGCUGUGUUUCAGCCGGCACAGUAGCAAGAAAACGAAAAGAAAAAACCUUUUGGCUGAACCUUUAUACCAGCCUUGUGUAAACAGCAGCGCAGGAGAGUCUGCAGACUGAGCCGGUUAAAAUAGGUUUCACUUUCGUUAUUAGUGAGCAAAUGCGAGCUGCAGCGUGAUAUUAAAUGCUAAAUAGAAGAACCGCCCACAUGACACCAAGAUAUGAAGAAGUGCUAACAAAAAGCAGCAGUAAGAUCGGGGCUGAGCAAACGAAGCGCUAGCCGUGAGCCGGUAAAUUGGACGACGGAAAACAACCACGUCACAUCAGUACAAAGUGGCCGACAAGAGUUGAAGAAAAACCUGAAAUUUACAAGACCUCAGCACGCCCUUGAAGUAACCCCGGAGGCCUCUGGAGCCCUUGACUCGUGGUCCGGAGUUGCACGAAUGCCCUUAACUCCAGGCGGCCUAUUGUGAACGAGCAAUAGACCAAUGGAUGGCUGGACAAUGCCGCGCAAAGAGAAUGCUUCAGGAAUUCUACUUAUUCAACAGUACAUGUCUAAUAACACGGCCGUGUAUUCCUGCGUCCACACUACGUCUGCUUUACAGCUCGUCUCAACUACUGUCCACGUCUACACACUCUGUGCGUGUGCGUGCGCUGUAGAAUAAUAAGGGGAUCAUGUGUGUAGACUUAUGGCUGCUACUCUCUGGGUUUCUCUCUCUCGCCCAGGCCACUUGGGGAACAAAGCAAACUUUAUCAGAACAUUGCAACCCAGCAUUCCCCAGAUUCUUAGCACUUGGCAACCGGCUAACACACAGAGCGAAGAGAGAGAGAGACGGAGGGAGAGCAGGCGGGCGGGCCAGCGAGCGCGCUAAGUGAAAUAAAAGCAGGUGUAAACACUAACGUCAAGUCCUUGCACAAGAUCCAGACUUGUGGCAGGAAUCUACACUAUUGCUCAAUAGACAAUAGACAGUUUUAGCUGAACGAAAAUAAUAGAAAAAUAUCUUGACGCGUGUUUUCCAAUUGAUUUGAUUUGCGGGCAUGUUGGCAAAGAGCGACGGAUCCCUUAAUCCACGGCGACAUCUAAAGAAGAAGUGAUUCAGAGUAUUUUCCCAUCAGUUAAAAAUCCUUUAAGUUAAGAAAAGUAAAGACGCGUUUAUCAAAUAAAUGAUCGUUGCGCUCAUUUAUGUGGUGUUAAAAGACACCACGUAAAUGAGUUAUUUCUGGGUUAUCUAUCUGCCGUCACACAACAGAGUUUGAGCAUACAGGAUUUUCUGGAUCUGGGAAAAAGUUUAUCCAUGUUUAUUAAGAUUUUUGGACUGUAAGUUAACAUUAAAAAGUGUAGUUUCCCCUUUAAGAGGAACCUGGUGUGGAUUUUGUGCCAACGUCAUGGGUGCAAGGCAAGGUCUAUCGUGGUCUGAUCUGUGUACAGUAAACACGCUACAGUGACAGCUAAUUCAAUGGUGAUGUAUCGAUGUUUAAAACUGCCAGAGAGGAAACCUUUAAAGUAUAGCGAGCACCGUGUCCGUGUGUUCUUUCAUCCACUCAAGAGGCCCUUUCUCUGUACCAACACAAUGAGCGUCUCCGUGUGCCAGGUUAAACACCAUUAAAAAGGUGCAGUACAUCAAGACCCGGGCACUUCAGAUGACCUCCGACUGUGUUAAUGUGCCAAAGUGAACCUUUGAAGUCUGGCAGCUAUUCUUGUAGUUCAGCACCAGAGAACUUCACCUACAGUAUAUUCUGUUGGCCGUAAGUCUUUGUUAAGUUUUCCGAAUCACAAAUAAGAAUUAAAUUUGGUGUGACAUUGUUUUCUUUGCUAAUGAUCCAUUUUUGCGCACAGAUCUGAGCUGUAAACCAAUUCACUGUCUUUGCGCCUUUUCCCAGAAAAAAUACUUUACAGAUUACGUAAAAAUGUUGUGUUCCAUAUCAUUUCAUCUGAUUAUUAAAAAAGACAGCAAAAACCCCUUUGCAAAGUAGAGACAAUCUGCAGUAUUUUUUGCUGGUCAUAUUCCAUUUUAUUGUGUAACUUUAUGGACGCUGGAUCACGUGGUGAUGUGGUGGUUCACUUCAACACUGUAGCUUCGAGCUUUCUGGUUUUCACUGCUGAAUCAGUUGUUAUCUUGGAUAAAUCAUUCAAAACUAUUAAACACCUGUCAGCUUUUCUUUGAAGUCGCUUUUUUAGUUUUUCCUAAAAUGUGUAUUUAUUCAGGGAGCGCCGUGGAUGAAAGUCGGUGGCCCAAAUAACGUCCACACACCGUGACCUCCCAUCGGGAACUGGGCACCACUAACUGUCAUUGGUGACUCAGUACCCGCGUUAAUGCCACACCGCUAGUUACUGCUCAUCCCGGCGGAUUUGACAUUUACACGUUUUUCCGCUGUUAAACAACAGGACUGUCAGUAAACAUUUCUCAGACCAUUCAGGCCCUUUUCCGCGAAUACCUUCGUCGUGGGCUCAGCCGGCGGACGCUCGUAUUUUAUUUCAGCAUAUGCCAACGUUUGGAUGAAAGUCAAACAAGUAUAAUCUGCGCCCCUUGACUUCCUAAAUACGAGUGCUUCUAAUCUUCAUUAGCAACACUUGCCAGUAAGCACGACCUUCGCAGCAGUGUGUUAACGCACGUGUGUGUGUGUGUAGCUGGCGUUUUCCUACAAGUUUCCACGCUUAAUCUGAUAACACAGACCCUGCAGUUUCCCUUCCUCCUCACUUCAGCUCCGUCUCUCCUCUCUAAAGAGUUGACCUUGUGUAUCGGUGUCCGUCAGCAGUUUAACGGACCGGCGGAUAUUCUAAUCAGGACUCGCAAAUACUAACCGAGCUGGUGGCCCGUGAAACCAGAACUCUGAUCAUUAACACUGUUGACAUCUAAAAAGGACGAAAACAGCGGGUUAAUGUCCCUCGACACCCUCGGUGCGGAGUACUACGGGUACUGGCUGGAAACUAUGUUUAGCAAUGCUGCUGGAAAAAGUUGAUAAUAAACCCCUGGUCUUUCUCAGUGAAUGGUUUGCAAAUACGUCGGUCUUUGUGUAGAUUUUACCUAAACGCACACCUACCGUGGACGGGCUAUAGCGCAUGUGUUUGUGCUCUGUCGUUCUACGUUUAUGGACGACGGACGAGCAUGCGAGUUAAGAACAAAGCUGCAGACGAGUCUUUGCCAUUAGCCUAUAGCUAGCUUAGCCAAAGACGGGAAACUGCUAACUUGGCUAGCUCUCAAAGCCACAAGUUGGGUAUUUAUGAAUCCGUUUGCACACAAAUCAAACUGCGUGUACAACGUGUGAAUUGAUGUUUCAGAUAUGUUGGCUCAAGGAAACAAUUUCCCUCCUUCUACUCUUCAAGCUAAGCUAAGUCAAACACAUCCACUCUAGUUCACAAUUGCAUGCACAGAAAUUAGUGUUUCCCCUGAAAUAAUGUCCAAUUCUCCCUUUAACUAGCUGUGGUUAAAGUAUUCAUUGGCAAGAAUCUGGAAAUUUAGGUUUUAUGAUUGAGGAAUUAUGAUUUGAUCUAGCAAUAAAUUGCAAUAGUGAAUUUGAUUCAGUAACACAAAACACGAUCAUGCAAUACUCAAAAUAUCAAUAUUUUCUUACACUCACUGCUGACGACAUUUACAGACUAGAAAAGCUGCUGGUUCUGAGACGGACUUUAAAAAGUCAGACAGGAUUUAACAAGACAUUUUGGAGGUUUCACUUUGCUCCAUACGGCUCUAAAUUUAUUGCCUUCUUUUUUUCUCCAUUUUCUGCUCUCUGUAACAAUAUUUAUUCAUUCAUAAGAUUUUGUGGAGUGAUUUAUCACAUUAAAAUAGAAUAGUCUUCCUCCCUUUUCUCUUCCCCUCGCUCCCAUUUUGAGUUUGACUCCACACCGCUGCCCUGUAAUGUAUUUGCGGGAUGGGCCGAAAAUACAGGAAGUCGCUCCCUGAGGUCUCCAUGGCAACCCUGAGGUCAGCCGUGCGAGGCCGGAGACCCCUCCUCGAAAACAAAGAGCUCAGAGGCCUGGAUCAACACAAACAACCCUGACACACACACACACACACACACACACACAUUUCGACUGACUAAAGGACGUCCUGUGAAACCUCUGCAGCAGCAGCAGCACAUGAGCAGUUUUCAGUGUGAAAACUACUGUAAAUCCCGUGGGAAGAUGUAAAUGAUGCCUGCUGCAUAGUCUAGUUUAGAAGGACCACAUCAACUUUUUCUGAUUAACAAUCCUUUGAGUGGUCUUCUGCUACGUGCUGAAACUUUACACGAGCACGGGAUGAGUAAAUUAUCUUUACAUUUUAAAACAAAGAGACAAGAAUAGAUGAUAACUUUAGGCUGGGUUGUAAAAGGAACUGAAAUUUAACGCAGAAGCUAUGCACUAUGUAAAUAGUUUUCACAAGGAGUGAUCGUGGUGUGCAGUAUGAAAAUGUUCCUCGAUAUGCACAAGCGAAUCUUUCUACAACCACCGCACAGAGAGGUUAGUAGUUUAUUUCCUGCGCUCGCAAAACAACAAAUUGGUAAUGAGGCCACGACCCAUCAACAUCUGGAUGGACGCCGGUAGCCGUAUUCUCCCGCUCUCGACAGAUAUAUUGAAAUGGGUUCUUUCUCGUCAUUGUUUGACGAAUACUUACACUUUCUCACCCCGAAAAAGCUCUUCUCCCUCAAUCGUCUGCACUCAUUUCUUCCUGGGAACCAAACUGACCACCAUCCCAAGGGAGGGAAGAGCCGGAUGAAUAGGCCGGGGUGAGGGGGGAGGGUGGGGGUCACUUUAAUUUGCAACCCACUACCUUCCUUAAAUGUAGUUUUAGAAGUUGGCUAUUCAGUGAUCUCGAAGUAAGUAACACAUGGUUGACGCGUGUAACCAUCCAUGAAGUAAGAUCACCCAUGGAGCGUUAGAUUCUAUCCACUGGUUCAAAUCCACGUGCAAAUAAAGUUUCCUAAAGGACAGGCUGACCUUGGAUGAGUUUAUCCUCCUCUGCUUGCCUAGACCUUAUCUUUAGUAAAACUUU
ensembl:lncRNA